rnacentral:rRNA from 1 species
GAUGAACGCUGGCGGCGUGCCUAAUACAUGCAAGUCGAGCGAACAGACGAGGAGCUUGCUCCUCUGAUGUUAGCGGCGGACGGGUGAGUAACACGUGGAUAACCUACCUAUAAGACUGGGAUAACUUCGGGAAACCGGAGCUAAUACCGGAUAACAUGUUGAACCGCAUGGUUCAACAGUGAAAGACGGUCUUGCUGUCACUUAUAGAUGGAUCCGCGCCGCAUUAGCUAGUUGGUAAGGUAACGGCUUACCAAGGCAACGAUGCGUAGCCGACCUGAGAGGGUGAUCGGCCACACUGGAACUGAGACACGGUCCAGACUCCUACGGGAGGCAGCAGUAGGGAAUCUUCCGCAAUGGGCGAAAGCCUGACGGAGCAACGACGCGUGAGUGAAGAAGGUCUUCGGAUUGUAAAACUCUGUUAUUAGGGAAGAACAAAUGUGUAAGUAACUAUGCACGUCUUGACGGUACCUAAUCAGAAAGCCACGGCUAACUACGUG